CAUUAAAAUUAAUAUUUUAAAAUACACUCUCGGAACCAAAGAGUGAAAGAAUGAUGGCAUCACUAUGAUCACUUCUUGCUGGAUCUGUCCAAGAGUCAAUGAGUACAGGUGGACCAUGUUGGAAAAUAACUUUCAGUCAAGACUCAAGUUGAGACAAGAGCUCCAUUGAUGUUAUUGAUCAAACUGAACAUGUUCUAGAGAUACUGGAGAAAAGAUCUGAGUGCAGUACAGACUCAUUAAUUAAAAGAAGUAUAAAUACAAUCAGGAUUGGGUAUGAAGCUAAAUUCCCAAUGGCAAAUAAUGUAUCACUGUUGGAAAUAGAAGUGAAACUGAAGGAUGAAGAUUCUCAUGAAAAUUUGAUCUAUCCAGUGAAAACAGCAUUAAGAGAACAAUAGUAUGGAUUAUAACUUGGCUGGACUGGACAUGGCACAAACAGAAAAUAAAUGUAUUGAAUUUUCAAUCCAAAUUAUGGAUAUUAGAUUAUUCAAGUGAGUUACCCAAGUCUGUCAAAUAACUUAGAGAAAGUACUUGAACUUGGCACAUGUGAUGGCACAGAAAUCGUAAAAAAAGAAGGAUGAUCCCAAACAUGUAAAACAUUUUACAAACAAACCUAAUCAAAGUUUAUAAAUGUUUAAAAAAAGUAAGAUGCACAAGCAAAUUUAUUUACAUACUACAGAUAUUAGAACUAAUG